GAUGAACGCUGGCGGCGUGCCUAAUACGUGCAAGUCGAGCGAACGGACGAGAAGCUUGCUUCUCUGAUGUUAGCGGCGGACGGGUGAGUAACACGUGGAUAACCUACCUAUAAGACUGGGAUAACUUCGGGAAACCGGAGCUAAUACCGGAUGAUAUUUUGAACCGCAUGGUUCAAAAGUGAAAGACGGUCUUGCUGUCACUUAUAGAUGGAUCCGCGCUGCAUUAGCUAGUUGGUAAGGUAACGGCUUACCAAGGCAACGAUGCAUAGCCGACCUGAGAGGGUGAUCGGCCACACUGGAACUGAGACACGGUCCAGACUCCUACGGGAGGCAGCAGUAGGGAAUCUUCCGCAAUGGGCGAAGGCCUGACGGAGCAACGCCGCGUGAGUGAUGAAGGUCUUCGGAUCGUAAAACUCUGUUAUUAGGGAAGAACAUAUGUGUAAGUAACUGUGCACAUCUUGACGGUACCUAAUCAGAAAGCCACGGCUAACUACGUG
rnacentral:rRNA from 1 species